rnacentral:lncRNA from 1 species
UGGAUUGGAGCAAGCUGACACUACGGCCAUGGCAACGAGUAUGCUUGACAACCAGCCUGGCCUUGGAUAUCGUGUCGUCGCAGUUGAACUUCAAACGAAUCCUCGGCACCUACACUCACCGGGAAAGCAACUUGAGCUGUCCGAAAGGAGUCGACGGGUCUGGACGACCAUUGUGCUGAGCUCGAGGGCACACUUAUCAACGUCUGACCAUUACGACUCAAGCAGAGGAUACACAAAAGGAUCCCGUAGCCACCGAUUUGGACAAGCACUCGAGCUUUAGUUCCAUCAGCACGGACAUGGACGAACUUUCAGUUGCUUGAGUGGCACCUAUCGCAAGUAUUCAAGAGGACAUCUGUGUCAGCAAGACGACUUUCAACGCUGUUGCAAUUCUUUUCGAAGAUUUUGGAGCAGACUCUCUGAAGUUUGUUACAGACAAGCUCGGACGGAAAGGGCCCCAGAAACAGAGCUAAACUCCAACCGCCGCUUGCAGCUGCGACAAUGAGGUAAGUCGAAUGUAGCGAAAAGGAAGAGAUCCGUCUUGUAGGUAAUCGCUUCUCUUACACUCCUUUGUUUGCAUUAACACCUGCUUAUUUGCAAGAUGUGAUGGAGAAACUUUUCAGAGCAUUUUGGAGCUAGUCAUCGUUCCUGGAUGUUUUUCUUACAUCUCACAGGGAUAUAAACGAUGGCUGUGUCGCAGUUGAGCCGGUGGCUGAGGAGCCGAGCAACCAAGUUGAUUCAUGACGAAGCCUUGGUUGAGAGUUGAUAUGUGACACGCAAAGAACUAAAAGUCGAGAACUGAAUCUCUACACUCUUGUGGUGAAAAUCACGGUCAUGACGAAGCAACUGGCCCCGUCGUACCAAUCGUCAGGAGCCAGUUGUAUUGCCGGAGUGUAGAAUCCACAGAAAAACAUCACCCCCAGCAGGAUCACCACCCUUGGAUCUGUGCUCAUUGUGGAAAGGAUACCACUGAUGCCUCCAACAAGAAAACCAUAUGUAACGGGUUUCUUUCGACCAAAGAGGAGGAACAGAAGAGACCUCUUGUUAGACAAAAAAGAACAAAAAAAAACACAAAAGCUUACUUGUUAAGAGUGAGAUCCCUCACUUCUGCAGAUAACUGAGGGGUUCAAUAUAUGGUAGCUACAUAAAAUCCAUAUGCAGUGAAGCAGUGAUUCACAAGAAUCAUCAAAAACUGGCGCCGUAUAAUCCAGUGGCGUCUAAGAUCCCAGGCCUUGUAGAUAUCACCAAGUUAUCCGUUCUUUUGGGAUAUGCAGUUAUAUACAGUCCGAUCCAAUAUACGAUAUACGAUCGUAUCCAUAUCCACAUGGGCUGGAUUCUCUGCCGAGCAUAUGACUAUGUCAGCAAAUGAUGAUCCUUAGGGCCGUCCGCGAUUGCUCCUCUGGCAAGGUAAGCGCAUUCUACGGUUCACUGGCUCACAGUUUUGAUCGCUCCCUUACCCUCCAUUUUGCAGAGCUCAGCAGCAGAAGCUCCCGCAAGGUAAGCGCCUUGGCACUUGGCAGUGGCUCAAUGGCUCAUGGUUUUGAUUCCCAGCUGCAAGCUUGAUGGGGCCGUGUGGUCGGGUCGGAUCAUCCUUUUCCUCACGAACAGGUGAUCUAGUGUCCAAAGCCUCCGCAAGUCCUUGUUUUCUAAUGUUCACUGUUUUUAGCUUCAGAUUGCAGAGAGAUCGAUUACUCUCCCGGGAGGAAGACUGAAUGGCAAACGGAUUGUAAGUUUGGACCUCGGCCAUGGCGUCUACAAGGUACUUUCUUCUCUUUACUCCAUCAGUUCCUUCUCCUUUUGAGCGAGCUCUAAAAGUUCUUCUCAGAGCCGAGCGACAAUCCCUCACAUCAAAAGGCUAAAGUCUUUCUUCGGUUGAUCUGGAGACUAGGCUUUGCAGUUGAAUUCUCGUCCGUGUUUCGCCUGCUGUGGAUUAUCACUUAGGACUCACGACGAAUAACCAAAAGGCCUUGGAAACAUUGGUGCGCAGGUGAUCAAAGUUUUUGGAAACUUUGAAAGCUAAAGUUCUUGCUUCCAGCAAGUUAAAAAACUGUCUACUCAUUCGUUCAGGAGGAUUCCAGCUCUGGAACCCACGCUGGAGAUUUGAAAAAGGAGUGGAACGCAUGGACGUUUUCAACACCAUCCUCUGGGGGCUGUAAGUUUGGUUCCAUCAUCUCAAAAGUCUUUUUUUUUGUUCACUUUUUUCUUCCAGAUCUUUUGAAAAGCUGCUCCAGAUCUUGCUGCUUUUGGCAAAGGCCAGACCCCAUCCUGGAGAUGAUAAAUUGGAAACCAUCCAGCUAGCAUCUGGUAUAGCUCAGGUAAGAAACGAUCUAAGGAAGCAUCGACCUCUAUCCAUCCUGGCCUGACCAGCAGCUAGCAGGAAAUGAUCUAAGGAAGCAUUGAGCUCUAUCCAUCCUGGCCUGACCAGCAGCUACCAGAUUCAAGUCUACACAGAUUUUGUGAGCCCGAAUAAAUAAAACUUCGAACCCUUUUCACUGUUCCCUAGGGUUUUCCGGGAGCAAGCGGAGGAAUGGCGUCUCUCGAGGUAAGAAUCUUGGCAUCCCAUUACUUUUAACAUUCUCUGGUUUAGGAGCCUUUGAUCGUAGUCUCCGAGCCAGUCGCGGACGCGAUAGCCAGUCUCCCGGACGCGACAGCGAGUCUCCAGGACGAGGUAAAGCAUUUCUUUAUUCCCCAUUGUCUCAUUUGUGGUUGCCACGUCAGCUCCACGUUGUGCCACAUCAGGACCACGUCGUACCACACCAGUGCCAGCAGAACGCGCCAGAGCGAGACCAGGUAAAAAGCACCUUGAUUUCUUUUGUAUGAAUUUGAUGUGAUCAGCACCAGGACGAGCGCCACCAUGAUGGAAAAGGCAUUCAAGGUGAUUUUGCAAGUUUUGUUUUUUUUGUUUCAUGUUUUUGUUUUUGCUUUUGUAGAUAUCAGCUGUCCUUGCAUCAGUAAUUCUGUAUGUUUUGCCGGUUUUCCUCGCGAAAACAGCGUUACUCCCGGGGACUCAAUUAGCCAUAUUAUAUGGCACUUCGAGUAAUUGCUUUUUUUUUUAAUCUUUCAACCACUAAGGCUUAUAAUUUUUUUUUUGCAGCUUUAAACUGCAUAAGCUGGUUUGUCUAUGGCCGAAUUGAACAAGAUGUGGUGGUCGAAAACGUGAACCUCCUUGGGCUCGUAACAGGGCUCAUGUUUACCGUGCAUACUGUCGGCGAUGUUACCUGGUGGCCUGCGCUGGGUGGUUCAUUCGUGUGGCCGCUUCUUGUUGCAGUGGCUUACUACGUUUUUCUCUACGGGUUGUACGGGAUCUUCAAAAAGGAGAAAGUGAAAGUGUGCUGCGAACUUACGGUCAUGGACAUCGUUGGUGUCACCACCACUGUCCUUGCUUCAGGGGUGCCACUGUGCUUUCGUGCUGUAAGAUUGUUUAUUCUGUUGCAGUGGCUUCUUGAGAGUUUUUUUUUUUUUGUGAUGCAGGUGACAAUGGUUAGCAAUACCACCAAAGCCACAGGGUCUCCUCUCGUUCCAGGGAUGGCAACGGCGUGUAACAUCCUGUGGGCUGCUUACACUCAUAUGGCAAAAAAGAAAACCAUGCGUGUAAGUAUUCGUUCUUUCAUACUCCAACUAAGCUAUGAGCUUUUGUAUGUAGGCUGCUAGCAUUUCAGCAGCUGUGCUAGCUGGAGCCCUCUCCAUCCUCUCGGUGAAAGAGAGGAUGCUUUGACAUCAUGCUUACUUCUCAGCUCACUUGCGUCACACUUUUUUUCUCUACAGAACGUAGAGCUUGUCGUUUUUUUGGAACUCUACGCGUCCCGUAGAGUUCACGCGAGAAUAAGACGAACGAAGUCUUGAGAUCUCGCGUAACGUGGCCAAACUGUUGAAAUGAAUCGGAGGAAACCAAGUAACUGUCAAAGCUCGGAUGGAGAUGGAUAAGCUACAGGAUAGUUUUUACUUAUCCCAUUCUACUGUCCAUGUCGCAGCAAUCGGGAACGCUCGUCAAGUGGACCAGUGGCUUUGCCAUAGCUGAGAAGGUAGAGUAGUCGCCUGCCCAUUCGUUUUUCCAUGUAGGCAGACAUAACGGCUCGGGUAAGGAAUACUCUUGAGAAAAAUAUUCACUUCCGAUUGUUUUCUUUGUUUCCAGGAUUAUCUGGAGAUCAUGAGAGUUUGUGUUCGUGUUCGGAUAAAGAUGGAGGCUGAUGCACAUGAACCAAAUUCACUGUGUAAGUACAAAUAGGUCCUCAUGAAAUAGCUGUGAACGGUUUUCCUUUUCUUUACCAGUGGACUCGAAUCGGGAUCCCUCGGACUUGUUUUCCACAGCAUGCAAAGAUGUGUUUUUGGAUUAACACUGGAUUGGAGCAAGCUGACACUAUGUUGUUGUCGCAGUUGGGCUUCAAACGAAUCCUCGGCACCUACACUCACCGGGAAAGCAACUUGAGACUGUCCGAAAGGAGUCGACGGGUCUGGACGACCAUUGUGCUGAGCUCGCGGGCACACUUAUCAACGUCUGACCAUUACGACUCAAGCAGAGGAUACACAAAAGGAUCCCGUAGCCACCGAUCUGGACAAGCACUCGAGCUUUAGUUCCAUCAGCACGGACAUGGACGAACUUUCAGUUGCUUGAGUGCCACCUAUUGCAAGUAUUCAAGAGGACAUCUGUGUCAGCAAGACGACUUUCAACGCUGUUGCAAUUCUUUUCGAAGAUUUUGGAGCAGACUCUGUGAAGUUUGUUACAGACAAGCUCGGACGUUAAGGGAAAGGAGAAACAGCUGCGACAAUGAGCUAAGUCCAAUGUAGCAAAAAGGAAGAGAUCCGUCUUGUAGGUAACCGCUUCUCUUACACUCGUUUGUUUGCAUUAACAUCUGCUUAUUUGCAAGAUGUGAUGGAGAAACUUUUCAGAGCAUUUUUGGAGCUAGUCAUCGUUCCUGGUAUUUCUAUGUUUUUCUUACAUCUCACAGCGAUAUCUAGUGCCCUAGUCGCGGUAGCAGGGAUGGAUUGGAUGGAUGCAUUCCACGGUAUUGUGGUCGGGGUUGUUGCCUUGCACGGGAGCACUCUGCCCAAAUCCAGUUCAGGCUCAGGCCUUCUUAGACGA